UGUCUGACGGGCAUGAGGACCUUGCAAGGUACGCACAUACCAAAUAUAGUUAUCCUAUUACUUAUAAGAGAGAAUUCAACAUUACAAAAAUUCUGAACUUUUUUUUCAAGUGGUCACUGAACCAUGAAAAUGAGGUCAAGGACAUUGGACAUGUGACUGACGGAAACUUCGUAACAUGAGGCAUCUAUAUACAAAGUAUGAAGCAUCCAGGUCUUUCACCUUCUUAAAUAUAAACCUUUUAAGAAGUUAGCUAACGCCGCCGCCGUAGCCGCCGCCGCCGGAUCACUAUCCCUAUGUCGAGCUUUCUGCAACAAAAGUUGCAGGCUCGACAAUAAAACCA
rnacentral:lncRNA from 1 species